UACGGGGGGGGCAAGCGUUGUUCGGAAUUACUGGGCGUAAAGGGCUCGUAGGCGGCCAACUAAGUCAUACGUGAAAUCCCUCGGCUUAACCGGGGAACUGCGUCUGAUACUGGAUGGCUUGAGUUCGGGAGAGGGAUGCGGAAUUCCAGGUGUAGCGGUGAAAUGCGCAGAUAUCAGGAGGAACACCGGUGGCGAAGGCGGGUCUCUGGGCAACAACUGACGCUGAGGAGCGAAAGCGUGGGGAGCGAACAGG
rnacentral:rRNA from 1 species